rnacentral:rRNA from 1 species
AGAGUUUGAUCCUGGCUCAGGAUGAACGCUAGCGGCAGGCUUAACACAUGCAAGUCGAGGGGUAGUAUAGCAAUAUAUGAGACCGGCGCACGGGUGCGUAACGCGUAUGCAAUCUACCUUUUACAGAGGGAUAGCCCAGAGAAAUUUGGAUUAAUACCUCAUAGUAUUAUGGAAUGGCAUCAUUUUAUAAUUAAAGUCACAACGGUAAAAGAUGAGCAUGCGUCCCAUUAGCUUGUUGGUAAGGUAACGGCUUACCAAGGCUACGAUGGGUAGGGGUCCUGAGAGGGAGAUCCCCCACACUGGUACUGAGACACGGACCAGACUCCUACGGGAGGCAGCAGUGAGGAAUAUUGGACAAUGGGCGCAAGCCUGAUCCAGCCAUGCCGCGUGCAGGAAGAAGCAUCUAUGGUGUGUAAACUGCUUUUGUACGGGAAGAAACACUCCUACGUGUAGGAGCUUGACGGUACCGUAAGAAUAAGGAUCGGCUAACUCCGUGCCAGCAGCCGCGGUAAUACGGAGGAUCCAAGCGUUAUCCGGAAUCAUUGGGUUUAAAGGGUCCGUAGGCGGUUUGAUAAGUCAGUGGUGAAAGCCCAUCGCUCAACGAUGGAACGGCCAUUGAUACUGUCAGACUUGAAUUAUUGGGAAGUAACUAGAAUAUGUAGUGUAGCGGUGAAAUGCUUAGAUAUUACAUGGAAUACCAAUUGCGAAGGCAGGUUACUAUCAAUAUAUUGACGCUGAUGGACGAAAGCGUGGGGAGCGAACAGGAUUAGAUACCCUGGUAGUCG